rnacentral:rRNA from 1 species
CCUCUGGUGGACCUGUUGUGGCGCCAGCCGCAGUGCAGGGUAGCUAAGUGCGGACGGGAUAAUCGCUGAAGGCAUCUAAGCGAGAAACCCACCUCGAGACGAGUUCUCCCUUAAGAGCCGUGAUAGACCAUCACGUUGAUAGGCCGGGUGUGUAAGCGCCGAACUCCAUGAGGCGUUGAGCUUACCGGUCCUAAUAGCUCGUUCGAUCUUGAUCGUUCUCAUUU